UACGUCUCACGAGUCUGUUAGGAAAUGAGAGUGCUUUGUCUUCGGCCUCUGGCAGCUUUGCCUGCUGGCUUGGCGGCUCGGUUCUACGGCGGGGAGGGUGGAGCACGAACUCCUGCGGGUGGGCGAUAUCCGCGGGGUGGCGGCCCUCCGCAUCCGGACCGACGGAACGUGCCCACGGAGCCACAGAUCGUUGCCCGCCUCAUCACAUUUUUCCCGCGUAUCAACACAUUUGUUCCGAUCAGCCGAUGGGCCGCUGCACUUCCAGAUGACCUGCGAGAGGCAUUGGUCCCGUACGGAGGUCUCGGUGCCUUUGCCAGCGCGCAGAGCAACUUUUUCAUGAUUCGAAAGGAGAAUGGCGUUACCGUGGCGUCGCUCUCAGCGAUGGGGGCAGAGCUAGCAAUGGAGCACGAACGAAAGGAAAAACAAGAGCAGAAGCGCGUGGAGAAGCUCAAUCAGAGGAGAGAGAACUUUGCGCAGCGCGGCCGUAGCUUUCCACCGUCCCGAGGCGGCCCGCCGCGGAAAUAGUGGUUUCACAACUUCGGCCGUCAUCGAGGUGGGUGACAACUUAGAGGCGCUUUGCGUGUGUACGCGUGCGUUUCCUGUUUUGCGUGUUGUGUGCUUCUUGUUGUGAAGAUGUGAAUGCUAAAUGUGUUAUGCUACCGCGAGAAAAUACAUGACGGGUAGGCGGCUGGUUUUGUGCUGGCGCCGUGAUGAGCGAAGGCAUCGUAGUAGGAGGUGAGGUGUGCUCGCUGUUCUGGUUUUUUUCUGCCCUCUUCUCGUGUGAUGAUGUCAACUGCAGCUGAUGUCGCCCGUUUUCAAUCCAUCACGCCUUUGGACCCCCUUCUCACUUUUUGUCUGAAUCUUGCUGUUUCUUUUCUGGCACCAUGCACGCAACGACAAAAACGAUUCGGUUGCCAG
rnacentral:misc_RNA from 1 species